rnacentral:rRNA from 1 species
GAAUUCGCCCUUAGAGUUUGAUCCUGGCUCAGGAUGAACGCUGGCGGCGUGCCUAACACAUGCGAGUCGAACGGAGCUGCUUUGAUGAAGUUUUCGGAUGGAUUUAAAGCAGCUUAGUGGCGGACGGGUGAGUAACGCGUGGGUAACCUGCCUCACACUGGGGGAUAACAGUUAGAAAUAGCUGCUAAUACCGCAUAAGCGCACGGUUCCGCAUGGAACAGUGUGAAAAACUCCGGUGGUGUGAGAUGGACCCGCGUCUGAUUAGCCAGUUGGCGGGGUAACGGCCCACCAAAGCGACGAUCAGUAGCCGGCCUGAGAGGGUGAACGGCCACAUUGGGACUGAGACACGGCCCAAACUCCUACGGGAGGCAGCAGUGGGGAAUAUUGCACAAUGGGGGAAACCCUGAUGCAGCGACGCCGCGUGAGUGAAGAAGUAUUUCGGUAUGUAAAGCUCUAUCAGCAGGGAAGAAAAUGACGGUACCUGACUAAGAAGCCCCGGCUAACUACGUGCCAGCAGCCGCGGUAAUACGUAGGGGGCAAGCGUUAUCCGGAUUUACUGGGUGUAAAGGGAGCGUAGACGGCUUUGCAAGUCUGACGUGAAACUCCGGGGCUCAACUCCGGAACUGCAUUGGAAACUGUCGGGCUUGAGUGCAGGAGAGGUUAGUGGAAUUCCCAGUGUAGCGGUGAAAUGCGUAGAGAUUGGGAGGAACACCAGUGGCGAAGGCGACUAACUGGACUGUAACUGACGCUGAGGCGCGAAAGUGUGGGGAGCAAACAGGAUUAGAUACCCUGGUAGUCCACACUGUAAACGAUGAAUGCUAGGUGUAGGGGGUAUCGACCCCUUCUGUGCCGCAGUCAACACAAUAAGCACUCCGCCUGGGGAGUACGGCCGCAAGGUUGAAACUCAAAGGAAUUGACGGGGGCCCGCACAAGCAGCGGAGCAUGUGGUUUAAUUCGACGCAACGCGAAGAACCUUACCAGGUCUUGACAUCCACUUAAACUUACAGAGAUGUAAGGUGUGCUUGCACAAAGUGAGACAGGUGGUGCAUGGUUGUCGUCAGCUCGUGUCGUGAGAUGUUGGGUUAAGUCCCGCAACGAGCGCAACCCUUAUCUUCAGUUACUAACGCGUGAGGGUGAGGACUCUGAAGAGACUGCCGGGGACAACUCGGAGGAAGGUGGGGACGACGUCAAAUCAUCAUGCCCCUUAUGACCUGGGCUACACACGUGCUACAAUGGCCACGACAGAGAGAAGCGAAAUCGCAAGGUAGAGCGGAACUCAAAAAAGUGGUCCCAGUUCGGAUUGUGGGCUGCAACCCGCCCACAUGAAGUCGGAGUUGCUAGUAAUCGCGGAUCAGCAUGCCGCGGUGAAUACGUUCCCGGGCCUUGCACACACCGCCCGUCA